ACGGAAGGCAGCAGUGGGGAAUAUUGCACAAUGGGGGAAACCCUGAUGCAGCGACGCCGCGUGAGUGAAGAAGUUAUUCGUAAUGUAAAGCUCUAUCAGCAGGGAAGAAAAUGACGGUACCUGACUAAGAAGCCCCGGCUAACUACGUGCCAGCAGCCGCGGUAAUACGUAGGGGGCAAGCGUUAUCCGGAUUUACUGGGUGUAAAGGGAGCGUAGACGGUCUGGCAAGUCUGAUGUGAAAGGCAGGGGCUCAACUCCUGGACUGCAUUGGAAACUGUCAGUCUUGAGUGCCGGAGAGGUAAGCGGAAUUCCUAGUGUAGCGGUGAAACGCGUAGAUAUUAGGAGGAACACCAGUGGCGAAGGCGGCUUACUGGACGGUAACUGACGUUGAGGCUCGAAAGCGUGGGGAGCAAACAGGAUUAGAUACCCUGGUA
rnacentral:rRNA from 1 species